GUGUCUCUGAGGCUGGGGAGCACAGACACUUGCCUGAGAUCACUUUAGGAGCUACAGUUGCAGCUGGGGUCAGCCCAGACCCUCCUGUUUAUUCUUUCCACUCUGCCAGAGGAACUAGGUGUGUUGGGAUUGGCAUUGGCAACAGCUCGCCAUGGAGAUGCCAGGCCUCCUGAUGGCAACAGAUCACAGUUGAUCUUGGGUGGUGGAGGCAGCUCGGGGCUUUCCCAGAGGUGACUGAGGAGGAGGCAGAGCUUCAGGCUCCCUCUUCUCUGGUGAUUCUAACUUGUGUCGAGUUGACAUAAAACUAGCCAGGACAGUGCAAGAAACUACCAGAGCCAAGAAGAACCUAAGAAGAUAUGAGAACCAAAUGAGCAAAUGUGAUUCUGAAAGUGAAAAGGAACAUUAGGGGAAACCAAGGAAAUCUAAAUAAACUGUGAAUAUUGGGACCCUGUUUUUAAAAAGGGCUUGGGGCGGUGGUGCUGGGUAUGAAGAGAGACUCUUAAGGCCAGACUUGAUAUCUAAUCUUCCUGAGGAACUCUGUGAAGCUGCCUGAGCUGUGGCUUGAGAUGUGAGCUCUCCGUUGCUGCUCCAGAUACCUGCCACCUGCUGGCUCGGUUCUGCAUCGUGGACUCUGAUUCUCUGAAACUAUGAACUCCAAAUAAACGUUUUCAAAUAUAA